rnacentral:rRNA from 1 species
UAGGGAAUCUUCCGCAAUGGACGCAAGUCUGACGGAGCAACGCCGCGUGAGUGAAGAAGGAUUUCGGUUCGUAAAACUCUGUUGUUAGAGAAGAACAGCGCAUAGAGUAACUGUUAUGCGUGUGACGGUAUCUAACCAGAAAGCCACGGCUAACUACGUGCCAGCAGCCGCGGUAAUACGUAGGUGGCAAGCGUUGUCCGGAUUUAUUGGGCGUAAAGCGAGCGCAGGCGGUCAAUUAAGUCUGAUGUGAAAGCCCCCGGCUCAACCGGGGGGGGUCAUUGGAAACUGGUUGACUUGAGUGCAGAAGAGGGGAGUGGAAUUCCAUGUGUAGCGGUGAAAUGCGUAGAUAUAUGGAGGAACACCAGUGGCGAAGGCGACUCUCUGGUCUGUAACUGACGCUGAGGUUCGAAAGCGUGGGUAGCAAACAGG